GAGUGAGUCGGAGCUCGGCCUCUCCCCGGCACGUUCUCAGCUGCUCCUGGUUCAGACCCAGCGAGGGAGCCGCGAGCGAGGCUCACCGUCCCCGGCGUGCAGGAUCCGGGGCUGCUGAGCGCUCGCUCCCGCGUGUCCGGCGCUUGGAGUCCCCGCGGCAGGAGAGGAGUCGGGACACUAGAGCUCCAGGGGCGCCUGUGGGCUCCAGGGCCUCCGGCUUCCCCAGUCCCCUUCAGCUAAAGCCCCAGAGACGUGCUCAGCCCCAGGACCUCUGCGGAACAAGAUCCGGAUUGAGAAGCCACUGCAACUACCGAAAUGGGCAGCAAAACCUUGCCGGCGCCGGUGCCUAUCCACCCUUCCCUGCAGCUCACCAACUACUCCUUCCUUCAGGCAGUGAACGGCCUGCCCACAGUGCCUUCGGACCAUCUGCCCAACCUGUAUGGUUUCAGCGCGUUGCACGCUGUGCACCUGCAUCAGUGGACGCUGGGCUACCCGGCCAUGCACUUGCCGCGCUCUUCUUUCUCCAAAGUGCCGGGCACGGUGUCCAGCUUGGUGGAUGCGCGCUUCCAGCUGCCCGCCUUUCCCUGGUUCCCUCAUGUCAUUCAACCCAAGCCCGAGAUCACCGCUGGAGGCAGCGUUCCAGCGCUCAAGACCAAGCCGCGCUUUGAUUUUGCCAACCUGGCCUUGGCAGCAACGCAAGAAGAUCCGGCCAAGCUCGGUCGCGGGGAGGGCCCAGGCUCCCCUGCAGGUGGGCUGGGUGCCCUCCUCGACGUGACCAAGCUGUCUCCAGAAAAGAAGCCCACAAGGGGACGUCUGCCUUCCAAGACCAAGAAGGAAUUCGUCUGCAAGUUCUGUGGCCGCCACUUCACCAAGUCCUACAACCUACUUAUCCAUGAGCGGACGCACACCGACGAGCGGCCCUACACCUGUGACAUCUGCCACAAAGCCUUCCGGAGGCAAGACCACCUGCGAGACCACAGAUAUAUUCACUCCAAAGAGAAGCCCUUCAAGUGUCAAGAGUGUGGGAAAGGAUUCUGCCAGUCCAGGACUCUCGCUGUCCACAAGACGCUACACUCACAGGUGAAGGAGCUCAAAACCUCCAAGAUCAAAUGCUAAAUAGAACCUGUGGGUCACAAGGACCCUAGGCCCAGCGGCCCUCUCCUCCAUAGGGACCAGAAGCCUGACUCUGGCGGGCAGCGGGAGAGGCGCUCGCUCGGGACCUUCCACCUCUCCAACAUUGUCCCCUGGGUCCCUGGCGCACGCGGCACUUCAGAGCCCCGCCCGGGGCCGCGACCCCGACCGUCCCUGCUGCUCCCCUAGGACGCGGCUAAACUCUUGGCCAAAAGGCGGUACUCACGUGGCGGAAGGGAAACUGCAUUAAAAAAAGAACGAAAGCUCCGCGGAGCCGCAGCGGCGCCUCUCCCAGAAGUAUUACUUUUUCUAUUGUUAUUUUAUACGUUUUCUUUUUUAUUUUUGUCUUUGACCAUAUAAGCUUGUAACUCUGACUGCGGAGAGUGAGUGGAGAGAGGAGAGGCAACGAAGUCCUUAGCACUGGCAGCUCCCACCUCCUCCUCCCGCCCCUGCCCCCACCCCCGGAGCCUGCAAAAGUGUAAUCCCUGUAUCUGCUUCAGCCUCCUGCCCUAGGGACCGCGGGGCAGCCCCCUCCCAGCUCUUGCAGCUCAGCUGGCGGCCGUGGGCUCCGGGACUAGGAGAGCGGGACGGGGACCUCGGGCCUGGGGUCUGCAGGGGGCCCGGCCUCCGCUGCCGCGACACUGCGAGGGAGCAGCCAGCCAAGAGCCGGGCGUUAUAUUGCGAUUGGCACUUUAUGCUGACCAUCGGUAACGGACAUUUAUCACUGGAGUUUUUUUUUUUUUUAACUAUUAAAUAAACGGUUAUUUUACAGGCAUUGCAGGAUGGGUAAUUUCCCUCCUAAACGCAGGAAACCGGUUGGGUCCUCUCUUUGAGAGGACCAGGUUUCUCUGCUGGACGCCAGCGUGUCCCCCUCCUACCACCCCGUCUUAUUAGGAUGACAGGGCUGAGAUGUGUGGAGCAACGUCCUCUCUCCCGGUUAGGUCUGCCUCCGCCCCACCAUGUAUUGAUUUUCCUACUUUUCUCCUCCGCCUCAGGGAUAGGGUCUCAGCCUUCCCACUCCUCACCGCUAAAGUGCUGUGAGUUUACGAAGAACCUAAGCCUGAAGGCAGAAAACCGCCCGUGAGAAAUCCCAGAGUCUCUGGGUGCUGAGACAGCGUCUCUGGGUGCUGAGAUCGCUUAGGGUGCAAGAAGAGAAGAGAAUGUCUUUCCCCACCCUAACCGAAGGCCUCCCUCCUGGCCUCUGGCUUUGGGGUGGGAAGGACCCGCCCUCACAGAGCCUCAGAGCUGUAAUAUUUCCCGUUCCCCGGGUCUCAACACUCGGGUGCAAAUACACAAUGACCGCUGCCUCCCCGGAACCCCAAACCAACAUCACUCCCUCCCUUAGGGUCCCUCAGACACAAUUCUCUGCUUGGGACUUGUCCCCUCCUAGGAUCGAGGCUCUGCACCCGCGAAGAUUCCCUACAAUUUUAAAGCCUUGUCAGGAAUGGUGGGGGCGGGCGCCCUGGGAGGCCCGGGACGCUUAGGAGGAAAAAUUCGAGUCCGCCUUCCAUAAGCUGAACCUUCCCUGGGGUGUCUAGUUUUCCCACAGUUAGAAGCCAGGCCGCCGGGGCUCUUCUCCUUGGGGCAAGGCGGGGCUCCCCCCAGCUCCAGCGCCCUGACCGCGGGACCGCGCAGGCGGUGGCGCCCGCGGCCUUUCCCAAGCGCAGGAUGGCCUCUCCAGCUUCAGCGCCCGGAGCGCGGCGGCCGCGGAUGACAACUGGACUAUAAGCUUCCCUGCUGCAGGCACCAAAAAUCCCAGCCUCAAGCCGGGCCCUGCUGGCUGAGAAAGCGGCAGGGGAUGCAGAAGUUAAAACGCUCUGGGCUUUCACCACCCCAUCCCCACCUCCUCCGGGAACGCUCCUGAGUCCUGUGCGGGCUAGAACUUCGAGGCCCGGGAACCCAACUGGGCACUGGAGGCUGGCCCUGCCGGCGCGGACCAGCCCUGGCCUCCACGCUCAGAGCCACGCUGCCCCCUGCUGGCCAGCCCUGGAGGGGCGGCCCAGGACUUGGCACCUCAAGGGGUCUUGCCCGCAACCUCGCGAAACCACCAAGCAUCUAUGUGUUUGGUCCCAAAAUCUUGACUGGCCCCAGGACCCACUGUGGAUGAGGGGCAGGGCGCUGCUGAGUCUGGUCUGGUCUGAGGGAUCUUCAUUAGUUGGGCACUAUCCCAAUCCUUCUUCCAAGCAGUUCACAAGGUCGCGCGCGGCCCAGGAUUAUGCCCCCAUUCCUGAGAACUGGGGCCUCUGAGUGCGUGGAAGUGGGGCUAGCCAGUAGGUUUGCGGGUGGUGUAGACGGUCUGCGCCCAAGCGGCGCACGCAGGUUGUGGUGUGGUUUGUGCCUGACCAUAGCUUGUACUAGGGUCAACUGCAGAAUCUUCCUUGGUUUCUUUAUGAAGCCCCAGGAGGCUGCGGGCCAUGGUUGCUCCAAAACAACCAGAGUGCAUGGGUGAACACACACACACACAGGGUGCCCUUCCUAGUCCCUUGGCUCUUUCUGGGAUGCUAUCCUUGGGGUUGUCUAUGGCUGCUCUUCCCUAGCCCCUGACAUCCCUCCACCUCCCAGAACACAUCAUUCCACCUCCCUGAAGAUCGAGCCUCUGCAGUUCCCGGGGCCUCAGGAAGCUACAAAUGCGGUGAAAUGGGGAGGUUUGCCAGCCACGUUAAUCCUUUUUGGGUCACCCCACCUCCAGCACUGUGAAAACCCACCCAGUCCAAGGUCUGCAACUGAAUGUCAGUAUCAAGUGUGCAUCCUCAAAAUAACAGAUUUCCAGUGCAGAAUUUUAAAUUGGGGAUGGGGAAUGGAGGGUGGGACAGGAUGAUGCGCAGCAACUCCCUGGCCCUCUCAGAAUGCCCCUAUUUGCUCUACUGAUGUUUGCUGUUAUCCCGGUGGACUCAGAGAUCACGUCUCCCUGCAGCUUGUUCUAGUGAUUCAUAGACUGUGCAGAAACAGUAACUACAGGUGGAAAGGCCGGCUGGGCCUGUGGGCCAUCCGACCCUAUCCAGGCUACAAUUCCCAGGUGAUGUGGUUGGUUGAUGUGGUUGGAAACUAGUGCCCCAGUUUCCUGCUCAUACUCAGUGUGGGUUGCACAAAAAGUGCAAUUGAGAGGGUCAGAAAUGUUGGGUGGGUUUCCUUGCCUGCCCCAAUUUUUCCCCCAAUGCAUCUCUAGAAAGUCCCAGCUCUUGUCUCCUCUCCAGACCCCCAUCACAAUAAGCUUCGCUGGUCCCAGUGACUGUGUGGCGCUCAGCGUUGCUGGGGCUAUUUUUCAGGAGAAAAAGAGGCCGAUGGUGCUGGCCAGGUGGAGUUCAGCUGGGGCCCUUCUCAAAGCUGCUAGGCCUGAAGUUUUUGUGUACGGCUGGGGAAGCUAUCUGGCCUAGGACAGCCUCUUGGGCAGGGAGGGCGGAAGGUGCCAGAGACCCUGGGCACAGCCCGGAACUGCCAGAUGCUGUCUCCGGUAAGAUAUCAGGUGCUUCCAGGGAAAAGAACAGCUUGCAGGAGCUUCUUCCUGGGAGAGAGUGUUUCAGGUUCUACCCCCUAUUUCCAGAGUGUAGUUAGGGGUUAGGGACCCACUAAAAAAUGUUUUCCCGCGUACUUCCUUGCCGCGGAAUUCACUGCUCACAUUGUGGGGAGGGACGCAAUGUGAUGCUCUGGGACUCCCUGACGUGACCUCAGCUCCCAGAACCUGAGGACCUGAUAUCCUAAAUCCCCUAGAAUCUUGGUGUCCCCAUAGCCGGCUCAAAAGAGUCCCGUCCCACCUCUCAGAGCGCGAAGCCUCUGUGACGUCAUGGUCUCCUCCCGCAGACACCGUGACGUCACAGAGGCCUCGGGCUGGAACACAAGGCUUGAAUGAGGUCCACAGAGGCAUUCCAUUACGUAACUUCGUGACGUCACAGAUGGGCCCCGCCUCGGGCUAACAUAUCCACACCUCUCAGCCCCGCCCCGCCCCGCCCCGCGAAUCGGCCCAGGCAGGCGCCACGAAUCGGUUCGUCUCCACUAACACGAUCCGCAGACCCGAAGCGUUGGCAGCUGUCCUGAGUGAAGGGCGGUGCCCUGCAGCGUCCUCUUCUUGAAUCAGUGGUUUAGAGUGGUCUCCCUGCCCGCGGGGUUUCAGGGCAGCAGUUGCCGCGGCGUACUCAUCCCACCCACUUCUGCGCCCACUAUGGCCGCGCCCACUGCGGCCCCGCCCUCCUCUCCCACUGCGCAAGCGCCACGCGCAGGCGCAAAAGGAACUCGCAGGCCAGUGCUGCUGGUGCCGGAGUCCGGAAGCUGACGGCGGUGCGUGGAAAUCGUCGCGGAGUUCAGUGUUUUGCUUUUGGGGAUCACAAACUCAGGGGCACACUGGCCCGGCGGGCGCAUCCAGCCGUUGGCGUAUGUGUGGGCAGAAAAUGCAGACGAGAAAGUGGGUGGCGCUUGGCUAAUGCGGGCUGGAGCCCUUGACUUGGAGUGCCCAGUCCAGCGCCGCGGUCCUACAGAGGCCCCUGGGAUCUGAGCUGGCGAGGGUGGCGCGGCGGGUCCUACCCAAGGCCAGAAAGUUCGCUGCGGUCCCAGCUCUUUUGGGCAGCCUCUCUGAGUUGCCUAGGCUGGAUUGCAGCGGUGCGAUCAGGACUCAUUGCAUCCUCAACCUCCCCGACUCAAGCAGUCCUCCCACCUCAGCCUCCUGAGUAGCAAGGCUACAGGUGUGUGCCACCACGUCUGGUAAUUUUUUCUACUUUUUUUGUGUAGAGACGAGCUCUUGCUAUGUUGCUUAGACUGGUCUUGAACUCCUGGUCUCAAGUGAUCCUCCCACCUUGGCCUCCCAAAGUGCUGGGAUUACAGGCGUGAGGCACCAUGCCUGACCCAUUUGUUUUCUUUGACUUGUGUUAGAGCAUCCUAGUCUAAAGAAAAAGUGGCCACACAAUGUUCUUUAUGUGGACUUCUGCAGGAAUGGUCCUCUCACCCAGUCACCCAGUCCUGGCAAUUUGCUGCCAUUUUUUUUGGUCAUUUUUCCUGGCUAAGUCUAGUUCCAGCUCCAGAGAUUAGAAUAUGAAAGGAUUAACCCCCCAAAAUGGGAUGGAGGGAUGAAUGAGUUGAAAGUUUUUGUUUCCCUUUUCCAAACACUGAGUUGGCUCUCAUCAGCACAGCUGUCUCUGGGGAUGUAUAAAGCGUAAUUAAUACAUUUUAAAUGUUUGGUUUCAACUUUUUUUGCUAGUGAGAUAAGAUAAGGAGUUUUUGUCAUGACAAGGGAAGGGGUGGAUUUCUUUCUAUCAUUUGCAGGAGUGGGUACCACUUGGAUCCUGUAGGUAGACAGUUGCAUGAGAUGAUAAACUUUAUAGGGGGCAUGGAAGAAAGCCAGUGGAGAUGGGGAAGGAAUGGCUAGACUCUUUAGCUUCCUGACAACCAGAGGGGGAAAAUGAACUUCCAGAGAAUUUGGGUUUUGCCUUAAAUAUUGAAAUUUGCUUGGGCAUUUGGUCCACUUCUUAAUUAACCUGGGUCCAGAACUGAAUGUCUUUGCAGUCGGAGCUCAGAAUUGCUUUGGUAUCUCACAGUACACAUAGCAUUUCCCUGUUGGUGUACGGUAGGCCAAGGACCAGAGCAUGUGUUGUGCUGUAGCCAAAAGGAAUAGUCUCCAUGACCUUAUCGUUGGAGAGAUCAUUGGACACUGAAAUAGUUGAGCAUGGACACUCUAAGAUGGGUGGAAAUACUAGAAGAGUUAUUAUUAGCAGAGGGAUCUAUGUAUCCAUAAGAUCCAUAUUUUUAAUUAUAAUGUUCAUAUCUUCUAUAUUCUUUUUAAUAAAUGGUGCUGGGAAAACUGGCUAGCCAUAUGUAGAAAGCUGAAACUGGAUCCCUUCCUUACACCUUAUACAAAAAUUAAUUCAAGAUGGAUUAAAGACUUAAACGUUAGACCUAAAACCAUAAAAACCCUAGAAGAAAACCUAGGCAUUACCAUUCAGGACAUAGGCAUGGGCAAGGACUUCAUGUCUAAAACACCAAAAGCAAUGGCAACAAAAGCCAAAAUUGACAAAUGGAAUCUAAUUAAACUAAAGAGCUUCUGCACAGCAAAAGAAACUACCAUCAGAGUGAACAGGCAACCUACAAAAUGGGAGAAAAUUUUCGCAACCUACUCAUCUGACAAAGGACUAAUAUCCAGAAUCUUUAAUGUCUUGAUUUCUUUACCUGUUAAUUCCUAACUGACACUUUAGUGUGUAUUAAAAACUCCCGCCGUGAUGGUGGAACUGUCAUUUUCUUAUUGUAGUUCCAUCAAAGAUAUAUAAAUUAUAUAUACAUAUAUACAAAAAUUAUAUAUAUGUACACACAUAUACAUGUAUGACUGUUUAAGCUAUUUACAUUUAUUGUGAUGUCUAUAUUGCUGUUAUCUUCUACCAUCUCACUUUAUGUUUCUAGUUGUCCAACUGUUUUAAUGCCCCUUUUCUGACUUCCUCUGAAUAAAAUGAUAAGCUUUCGCUUAA